AGAGCGAACGCUGGCGGCAGGCCUAACACAUGCAAGUCGAGCGCCCGUAGCAAUACGGGAGCGGCAGACGGGAUAGUAACACGUGGGAACGCGCCCUUCGGUUCGGAAUAACUCAGGGAAACUUGAGCUAAUACCGGAUACGCCCUUACGGGGAAAGAUUUAUUGCCGAAGGAACGGCCCGCGUCCGAUUAGCUAGUUGGUGAGGUAAUGGCUCACCAAGGCGACGAUCGGUAGCUGGUCUGAGAGGAUGACCAGCAUCACUGGGACUGAGACACGGCCCAGACUCCUACGGGAGGCAGCAGUGGGGAAUAUUGGACAAUGGGCGCAAGCCUGAUCCAGCCAUGCCGCGUGGAUGAUGAAGGCCUUAGGGUGUAAAGUCCUUUUAACGGGGAAGAUAAUGACGGUACCGUAGAAUAAGCCCCGGCUAACUUCGCGCCAGCAGCCGC
rnacentral:rRNA from 1 species